AGUAAUGCUUGGGAAUCUGGCUUAUGGAGGGGGAUAACUACGGGAAACUGUAGCUAAUACCGCGUAGAAUCGGAAGAUGAAAGUGCGGGACCGCAAGGCCGCAUGCCAUGAGAUGAGCCCAAGUGGGAUUAGGUAGUUGGUGGGGUAAAGGCCUACCAAGCCUGCGAUCUCUAGCAGGUCUGAGAGGAUGGCCAGCCACACUGGAACUGAGACACGGUCCAG
rnacentral:rRNA from 1 species